rnacentral:rRNA from 1 species
GACGAACGCUGACGGUGUGCUUUAGACAUGCAAGUCGAACGAGAAAGCCCUUCGGGGUGAGUAAAGUGGCGAACGGGUGAGUAACACGUGGGUAACCUGCCCCUCGCAGAGGGAUAACUGGGGGAAACCCCAGCUAAUACCUCGUACGCUUGCCGGGUCGCAUGGCUCGGCAAGGAAAGGUAGCUUCGGCCAUCCGGCGAGGGAUGGGCCCGCGGUCCAUUAGCUAGUUGGUGGGGUGACGGCCCACCAAGGCGACGAUGGAUAGCUGGUCUGAGAGGAUGAUCAGCCACACUGGGACUGAGACACGGCCCAGACUCCUACGGGAGGCAGCAGUCGGGAAUCUUGCGCAAUGGGCGAAAGCCUGACGCAGCAACACCGUGUGGGCGACGAAGGCCUUCGGGUCGUAAAGCCCUGUUGUUGGGGACGAAGGACGAAGGGUUAAUAGCCCCUAGUCUGACGGUACCCUUCGAGGAAGCCCCGGCUAACUACGUGCCAGCCGCCGCGGUAA